rnacentral:lncRNA from 1 species
CUUGAUGCCGCGGAUGACCUGGUUCGGCGUCGGCAUGAACAUUUGCGCCAGCCAUUGCAGUGGCUGAACAAUCUCCGCCUGUUGCUUCCGCCAGUAGUCGAUUGCCGAGCUGUAGAACUCGUUGCGGAUCAUCUUGGAUGCGGCCCUCCAGUCGCACUUCUCCAUCUCAGCCCUGGCGGCCCUCCCCAUGUCGCCCCUAAACUCGUCGUCCGUCAACAGCAGCCUAAUCUUGCCAACACAGUCGUCGAGGUCCCCCGGAGCGAAGAGGAAGCUCGUCCUUCCCUCUACGUCCUCUGGGAUAAUGUCAGGGAUACCGCCGGCACGAACGGCCACCACAGGGACACCCGACGACAUGGACUCGAGGACUACUUGGCCAAGUGUUUCUGACUCAGAGGGCAUCACGAAGACGUCGCCGCUUGCAUACGCCUGCGAGAGCUCCUCCCCUUGCAUCAUCCCGGUAAACACCGCCGGCAUCCCCUCGAACAUCUUCUCUAGCUCUGUCCUAUAUGGCCCAUCUCCGAUGAAUGCAAUUCUUACUCCGGGCAACCGAUCCAUCACCCUGCUCAACCAUGAACCAAGAUCAGGGAGAAGUUGC